AGAGUUUGAUCAUGGCUCAGGAUGAACGCUAGCUACAGGCUUAACACAUGCAAGUCGAACGGAGUCAAGAGGAGCUUGCUUUUCUUGACUUAGUGGCGAACGGGUGAGUAACGCGUGAGUAACCUGCCCUGGAGUGGGGGACAACAGUUGGAAACGACUGCUAAUACCGCAUAAGCCCACGGCCCGGCAUCGGGCUGAGGGAAAAGGAUUUAUUCGCUUCAGGAUGGACUCGCGUCCAAUUAGCUAGUUGGUGAGGUAACGGCCCACCAAGGCGACGAUUGGUAGCCGGACUGAGAGGUUGAACGGCCACAUUGGGACUGAGACACGGCCCAGACUCCUACGGGAGGCAGCA
rnacentral:rRNA from 1 species